UGGGGAAUAUUGCACAAUGGGGGAAACCCUGAUGCAGCCAUGCCGCGUGUGUGAAGAAGGCCUUCGGGUUGUAAAGCACUUUCAGUUGUGAGGAAAGGGAUGUAGUUAAUACCUACAUUCUGUGACGUUAGCAACAGAAGAAGCACCGGCUAACUCCGUGCCAGCAGCCGCGGUAAUACGGAGGGUGCGAGCGUUAAUCGGAAUUACUGGGCGUAAAGCGUGCGUAGGCGGUUAUAUAAGCUAGAUGUGAAAGCCCGGGGCUUAACCUCGGAACUGCAUUUAGAACUGUAUGACUAGAGUUUUGUAGAGGGUGGUGGAAUUUCCAGUGUAGCGGUGAAAUGCGUAGAGAUUGGAAGGAACAUCAGUGGCGAAGGCGGCCACCUGG
rnacentral:rRNA from 1 species